rnacentral:rRNA from 1 species
UACGUAGGGGGCAAGCGUUGUCCGGAUUUAUUGGGCGUAAAGAGCGUGUAGGCGGCCAGGUAGGUCUGCUGUGAAAACUCGAGGCUUAACCUCGAGAUGUCGGCGGAAACCAUCUGGCUAGAGUCCGGAAGAGGAGAGUGGAAUUCCGUGGUGUAGCGGUGAAAUGCGCAGAUAUCAGGAAGAACACCCGUGGCGAAGGCGGCUCUCUGGGACGGUACUGACGCUGAGACGCGAAAGCGUGGGGAGCGAACAGG